rnacentral:rRNA from 1 species
GCAAGUCGAGCGGAAACACAUGGGAGCUUGCUCCUGAGGUCUCGAGCGGCGGACGGGUGAGAAAUGCAUGGGAAACAGCCCAGUCGUGGGGGACAACCAUUGGAAGCGAUGGCUAAUACCGCAUACGCCCUACGGGGGAAAGAAGGGGACUCUUCGGAGCCUUUCGCGAUUGGAUGGGCCCAAGUGGGAUUAGCUAGUUGGUGAGGUAAGAGCUCACCAAGGCGACGAUCCCUAGCUGGUUUGAGAGGAUGAUC